rnacentral:rRNA from 1 species
UGGGGAAUCUUGCACAAUGGGGGCAACCCUGAUGCAGCGACGCCGCGUGAGCGAUGAAGCCCUUCGGGGCGUAAAGCUCUUGCGACCGGAACGAUAAUGACGGUACCGGGAGAAGAAGCUGCGGCUAACUACGUGCCAGCAGCCGCGGUAAUACGUAGGCAGCAAGCGUUGUUCGGAGUUACUGGGCGUAAAGAGUGCGUAGGCGGUUUUCUAAGUUCGGUGUGAAAUCUCCCGGCUUAACUGGGAGGGUGCGCCGAAGACUGGGAAGCUGGAGUGUGGGAAAGGCAGGCGGAAUUCCUGGUGUAGCGGUGAAAUGCGUAGAUAUCAGGAGGAACACCGGCGGUGUAGACGGCUUGCUAGACCAUAACUGACGCUGAGGCACGAAAGCGUGGGUAGCAAACA